UACGUAGGGGGCGAGCGUUAUCCGGAAUUACUGGGCGUAAAGGGUGCGUAGGCGGUUUGCUAAGUUUGUGGCAACAGCCAUCGGCUUCACCGGUGGAGGACGACGAAAACUGGCAGGCUUGAGAGCGGGAGAGGGAUAUGGAACUCCGGGUGGAGCAGUGAAAUGCGUAGAGAUCCGGAAGAACACCGAAGGCGAAGGCAGUGUCCUAGCUCGUUUCUGACGCUCAAGCACGAAAGCUAGGGGAGCGAACAGG
rnacentral:rRNA from 1 species